rnacentral:pre_miRNA from 1 species
AGCUUUUCGAAUCCGUGCUGAGAUUUCGUUGGACAACCCAUUAGGGCUGAUCAGACUUCCAAGAUAAGUGAAGUU